rnacentral:rRNA from 1 species
UACAGAGGGGGCAAGCGUUGUUCGGAAUUACUGGGCGUAAAGGGCGCGUAGGCGGCCUUCUAAGUCGAACGUGAAAUCCCCGGGCUCAACCCGGGAACUGCGUCCGAUACUGGAAGGCUUGAAUCCGGGAGAGGGAUGCGGAAUUCCUGGUGUAGCGGUGAAAUGCGUAGAGAUGUGGAGGAACACCGAUGGCGAAGGCAGCCUCCUGGGCCAGCACUGACGCUCAUGCACGAAAGCGUGGGAGCAAACAGG